GACAAACGCUGGCGGCGUGCUUAACACAUGCAAGUCGAACGGAAAGGCCCUGCUUUUGUGGGGUGCUCGAGUGGCGAACGGGUGAGUAACACGUGAGUAACCUGCCCUUGACUUUGGGAUAACUUCAGGAAACUGGGGCUAAUACCGGAUAGGAGCUCCUGCUGCAUGGUGGGGUUGGAAAAUUUCGGCGGUUGGGGAUGGACUCGCGGCUUAUCAGCUUGUUGGUGGGGUAGUGGCUUACCAAGGCUUUGACGGGUAGCCGGCCUGAGAGGGUGACCGGCCACAUUGGGACUGAGAUACGGCCCAGACUCCUACGGGAGGCAGCAGUGGGGAAUAUUGCACAAUGGGCGGAAGCCUGAUGCAGCAACGCCGCGUGCGGGAUGACGGCCUUCGGGUUGUAAACCGCUUUCGCCUGUGACGAAGCGUGAGUGACGGUAAUGGGUAAAGAAGCACCGGCUAACUACGUG
rnacentral:rRNA from 1 species